rnacentral:lncRNA from 1 species
GGAAGCAACUGCCAUGGGUUCCUUUUCAUCCGCGCUGACUAAAUCCAUUGCCAUCGCGCUUCUUGUGAGGCCCAGAGGGAGCAUGCGAAGGGGAGAGGCAGCACCAAAGUUGAAGCGAAUCCAUAGGCGUACCAGUGUGUCUCCGGUUCCUUGAUGCGGAGACAAUGGUGUGGUUGACCGUAGGUGUGUGUCCUCGGAGGAGCUUGGAUGAGAAUCUCACAUGAAGAUAAGUCGACUUUUAAUUCAACGAACCCUUUUCUGCAAAAGCUUGUGCCCCAGUGGGGGAAUUAAGGAGGAAUUAUAUUCUUGGAGAUGUUGAAAAAAGAUUCCUGGGUCUUGGAAGAUAAUUACUAGAAAUAUGCAGUGCUUCUGAUCAUUGGAAACCUUGUCUAACAACAGAAACAGCAUAUAAAGCAUAACCAGCUUUGAAAUGUAUUAAGGCGUGGUUGCCCGUCCCAUGUCAGGCUUGAUGUUGAAAAGACGACACUGCCAAGUUAGCAGAAGAAACAAAUCGAAGGGUGUUGUUCUCCAAGAACACCAUUUAUCAGAUUUAUCAAGAAUUCAAAGAUUUAUAUAAUAAGGUAGUCCGUCCUUUGCACCAUUUCAACAUAUGCCUGAAUAUCAGUUUUCACACUGUAGACAAUACCUGUCCCCCAACGAGACUGAACUUUUAGUCACAGUACUAACUGAAUUAUUCCGUAAACGUUGCUGCUAGCUCUUUAUUCCAGAAUCAUUAUGCAAAUAAAAGAUGUGCCUCAUGAAUCUACUUUGGAUUGAGGACUGUAAUAAAAAACAGUUACAUCACUUCUUUCAGAUUCUUGGUGAUUGAAAACAUCCAUUAGCUGCAGAUGGUAAAGCUGUGUUCUUCCUUGUCUCCCAUGCAACAUUUUACAAAAAUGGAUCAUCAGAAGAGGGAAUUGGUCAACAGAUAUGACAGCAAAGAAAUGAAAAGUGCUAACACUGGAAAUGAAAUUAGAUGUGGUUAGAAGAUUUGAAAAUGGUCACAACAAAGCAAAAAAUAGGACAAGACCUGGGCCUACAUGACACUACAGUACAAACCGUAUUUAAAAGUCUGAUGAGUUCCUGCUAUGGUGCAAAAGGAUCAGCAGCCUCUUGGGGAGUGCUGGGACGCAGGUUUGGUUCCUGGCACGGUGGGUUGAGGAUCCAGUGUUGCCACAGCUGCAACUUUGGUUGCAGCUACGGCUUGGAUCUGAUCCCUGGCCUGGGAGCUCCAUAUGCCUCGGGGUGGCCAAAAAAAAAAGGGGGGGUUUCAACAUCUUGUAGUUUAAAUUGCACUAGGAGCGGAAAGCUGCUUAUGGUUGAAAUGGAGCCUUUAUUUCUACUUUGGAUUAAGGACUGUAAUCAAAAACAAAUCCCAUUCAGUUAGGCACUGAAGUUAGUUGCUACAUGUAAGGAAAAUGCUAAUUACAAGGACAUCUUUUUAGUACCAGUAAAGGCUGGUUUCAUCAUUUUAGAAGUUAACAUGAAUUGAUUAAUGUUAAGCUAUCUGGUGAAGCUACAAGCUCAAAUAAGAAUGCUACUGUGAAAUUUGCACCCAGAUUCCAAGAAUUACAGGCAUUCCUCAUUUUGCACAGUAGUGAGAGACGACUGCAAAAAACUGCGAGAUUCGGAUGGAAUGUAAAUGGAGUUAAGGAAGGUAAUGAUGACCAUGGGAACACUGCUGCCUGCCAUUCAAGGAACAGUUCUAGACAUGCGGGAAGCAGAACUUAAGGUGAAGUUCCAAGUGAAGAAAGCGGUUGUAAAGCAUGAGUGCAUCUCAGGAAGUGAUGGUGUUGACAGACUUAGGCUGAAGGAGCUCUGCAGAGAUCCAUCGUGACAUUGACAGCACAGAGGACAAAUUUUG